GAAUAAACUUGGUUAGGUUGUUGCUGGCUCUUAGGAGCAUGUGCACGCCGACUCCAUUUUUAACCACCUGUGCACCUUGCGUAGAUCUGAUACUCUCGAGGAAACUCGGUUUGAGAAUUGCUGUGCAACAAAAGGCCAGCUCUUCUUGUAUUCAGGUCUAUGUUUCUACAUACCCCACAUGAAUGUAUUUUGAAUGUCGUCAUUGGCCUUGUGCCUUUAAAAACAAAUACAACUUUCAACAACGGAUCUCUUGGCUCU
rnacentral:misc_RNA from 1 species